rnacentral:lncRNA from 1 species
AUGCUACCUUCAUACGUGUCACUGGAGUUAACCUCUGAUGCUGUGAUGGCGCAGGAUCUGUCAAUCAUUUACCCCAGCUUCCAGAAGAUCAAUGGGAGUUGGUUUUGCAACAACACAGGGGAAGAAAUUCUUUGGGGACGUAGAACCAGGAAAAGCCGAGUCUUAACCCUGUCUUUCAGAAGAUGGACUGCAGGAUUACAGAAUGCUUCAUGAACUGUACAAUCCCUCGUGUGCUGGCUUGCUGCUGAAAAGGAACUCCUUUGCUCAUUUUUGGAAAAUAUAAGAUGCUUAUGACUACAUCAGACCAUUUAAUAACCUUUCCUGUGCUUUCAGCAGUAGAUACUCUGAAAGCCUUCUGCGGCAUCUCCAUAAAAACAUUUUUUCUUUCCAAACCAAUUCUUCGCAUGUUUCACGUAUUUGUAAGACAUCACUAGUUGUGUGAAAGUGUGCAACUCUAGAGAUCCUGUUGCUCUGAACUGCCAAGACUUCACUUUGGGAUCGAUUUUUUUUUUAUGCCCUUUUAUACUUUUUUCUCUCCCAUUUCAAAAGAUCUUUCCCGCUAUGGUGGGUCCUUGUGAGAUGGCGGAUGAAGGAAAGUGUUUCAAUGCCCAAUAGAGUAACCCAACUGAACAUGACCUGAGAAUAAAGUCUUUUGGGUUCUUCAGAGAGCUCUUCAGAUUUCAUACCACGUGCUCAAGGCAGGUGAGAUCAACAGUAUAACACGGAUUCCAACCUACAUCAAAUAUGGGGAGGCAAGGUGGGACCCUGGAACACCAUGAAGUGGUCUAUGCACCAUAACUGCUGAGCCCCACAGACGCUGGUUCUGUCUCUUGAAAUCACUCUCAAAUAAGUUGCAUUUCCCCCCCAACUUUAAGCAUUUAACGUGGUUUUCUCUGAAAUUUUAUUUUUUAAAAUGUUAUGUUUUAAAAUGUCUUACACUUUACUAUUUUU